AUGGAGGAACGGAAUCUAACCCAGUGCUCUGCAUCCAAAGGCCAUUCUCCUUUCUCUUCAAAAAGACUCUUUCCAUUAAUGCACAUGAGUUUGCAAGUUUUAAAAUGUGGUAAUUCUUAUACCUCAUAUGAAGAUUCAUCACUUGAACAUUUUUUUCUACACAAACACACUUUAAAAACCAAAACUGAAGUCAAGGUUAAAAGAGCUGAUAAUGCUGGUGUCGUCCAAAUCAAGAACAGGAAACUAAGGCUUGGAAGGGUUACACGCUGUUCCAAAGUAGGCACAGAGUCUCCCUGGAAGCCAGGUGUCCUGACUCACUGCCAGUGGUCUGCCACGGCCUGGACUCAGCACCACCACAGGAGCCAGAAGAGUUAAUGCGGGUGCUGCCGCCACCACAGCAGCAGCGGCAACAGCAGCAGAUAGCUCCUUGCCAGCCCGUGGAAGCCACUCCAAAUUCUCAGGAACUUUUCUCCACCCUCCUGGCGAGGGAGGGGGCAGGCAAGCCCUGGCUUUUAUGAGCUCAGCUUAUAUGGGGGAAACCCUGGGCUUGCCAACAUGUCCAGUGCUCCCAUACAGCCCAGCCUCUACCUUCUGGGUCCUGGGGAUCCACCUUUUGAGGUCCAGUUCUAGUGUCACGCACAGUAAUUUCUUGCUGGGUCAUCUAAAGUCCUUUGCAUGAAAUUAAUGCCUUUUUCAGGGUGCAUGUUCAUGCGUACACACACACACACACACACACACACACACACACACUUUUUACCUAUUUUGAAAUUAAUUAUUUACAUAUAACUUUUUUUCCCACUUAACUCCUAGACACCAGUGUCAGAACCUUUCACCUUGUCUUUAUUUUUGCACGUAUAGCACCCAGCCUGAGUAACACGGAAAUUUGACAAGUAUUUGUUAAAAUGAAAUUAGGGUGUCUGCAAUACCCCUUAGGAGGUUUAAACAUUAAACUGUGAACUCUUCAAUUGACUUUGCUAGUCCUGGGUCUUUUGUGAGACAGGUGCUCUGGGACAGCAGGGGCCCCAGUCUCCUGAGGGUAUGAAACAACAAGAGAAAGGAGGCUCUGGCUGAGAACAAAUCCCAGAACAGACAAGGAAGUCCCAACAACAGAAUCUCAGAUACCAGAACUGAGCUGCAUUUUAUUGCAAGUCCCUUCAAGUCCAUUUGAAGAGCAAACAUGUUCAAAUAUUAGGAUUCAAGACAGAGAAGUUGCAAAACCUAUAUCAACCAAGCUUAUGGGAGACAAUUGAGGCAAUGAGUGCUAGGGUGGCUCCUACAAUGUGUGCCCAGGUCUCACCAGCCCUUCCAACAAGUGUGGGUUCAAGGAAUAGAUCUGGCUGUUACCCGAGACAGAAAUGACUGGUAUUGCCUAGAUGGACUGUUCAUGGCUUCUCCAGGGAUAACUGGGGGUGCUUGUUUUCCUUCCUACCUCCAGGUCAGCUUUCCCAAAAGGAGUGUAAGAAUGUGCCUCUACUGAGUGAGGCUCAGUGUUCAUCCAUUGGGACACCGGCUCCAUGGAGUCUAAUAGCAUUACUCAGUAAUGAAUGAGAAAGUGGAAGAAGGAAUUUCUCUAUGCAACAUACAAAAUAAGAUUGAGCUGUGAAUAAAUCAAAACCAUCUAGAGUUUGUUUUAGAAAC
ensembl:lncRNA